GCCAAGACAGAGCUGGCGGGAGGCAGCGGCCCCAAAGUCAGGACCGAGGAGGGCCAGGCUGACUGCCAAGGAGGGCCGGGCUGGCUGCCAAGGUCAACCAGGUGGAGGCCUUCGGGGUUCGGCAAGAGCAGUUCUGUGAGCUGGCGGAGCCUGGCGUCUGCCUGCGUGACGUGGAGGAACCGCAGGCGGCGACCGCGGACAGAAUGUACAGGUUUCUGGGCGAGGAAUGGAGAAUGAGGCGGAGCUGGGCUGCAGGAGACGGAGGCAGAGAGAGACGGCCUGGCGGGAGAUGCAGGGGCCCGCGGCAGGGCCCUGGAAACUCCAGGCGGGAGGAGGGACGUGGUGGCGGGCGGGAGGGCAAGGGCUGGGGCCCGGGCUCAUUCCGCAGAGCCUGCGGGUACAGCAGGCUGAGGGGUCAGCCUGAGCACAGGGAGCUGAAUAGCGAGCCCCGCCCGGCAGGGGAAAUGAAGGGAGGGUGGUGUGAGAGCGUCUGCCAGGGGCAGAAGGACACCGAGGGACGGCAAGCAGAGCCGAGGGAGUGCGCGCUGGCCCCGGAAGAGAGUGCGCUGGGCUGGCUGCUGAGCUACCCUCCGGAGCUGCAGGGGCUCGAGGGGCUGGAAAUGCUGCGGCAGAAACUGGAAGGCCCGUGCCUAGGUUGGCUUAGGAGUAGAGGGGUGCACCCUGGUCAACCCUGCACCUCCGGGGCGCCACGCGCUCGCUGGCGGGAGGGCGGAGGGAGGCGGGAAGGAGACGCUAAGGCGCUGCGAUCCCGGACGCGCAGCCCUCUCUCUAGGCGUGGAGGCUGCUGGAGCCGCCGGGCAGCUUCUCGGCGACUCCACGCGUGAGUGCAAAGAUGCUGCAGGGAGGCAGCGCUCACAAAAGCAGCUCCGCUCACAAAAAUACGGCCACACCGAGCAGACGUCUGCUUUGACACCACUCGACCCUGCCAAAAAGAGCAAUUAAUGGGAUCAGAAGGGCGGGAGGUGGGAGGGAAGGCGGGGAGCGGGCAAUGAGCAGAGCCUGGCUUUCUAUCCCAGGACAGCGUGGUGUUCUCAAGGGAAUUUAGACAAACAUUUCGUCCUAACCUCAACAACAGGUCCUCGUGAGUCCUCAUACAACCUAUCCUUAGGCGGUAACAGGCUGCAGCUGUUGAAGUCUAAUUUCACUGUAUUGAUUGGUACUUUCAAUGGAAUGCUUUCUGAUUAAUUCUGUGCCUUUAGUUUUACCCUGGACAUGUUUCAAGACAAUGUAUUAAUAGGACUCUGGUGUUACGUAUUCAAUCAAUUUAUAGAUGAAACCCAGAAAACUCAAAUAUGGUUAGAGGACUGGAUUAAAUGAUAUUUACUUUGGCAAUAGAGAAAUAAAAGUAUACUGAACUGAUGGAAAUAUUCUAAAACUAUAUUGCAGUGAUGGUUACACAACUCUACAGAUUUACUGACAAUAGGUGAAAUAUGUAGCAUGUUAAAAAUACCAGCUGUUAAAAAUGAAGAAAAAGUCUAUCAGUAAAAAAAUAAAUACGUGUCUAACUGGAAGAAGACAGGAUACAGAGGCAGGGGGGAAAGAGGGUAGGGGGGCUAAGACCCUCAUUCACAUCGUGGUGUGGCAGUUAAUACAGUCUAAGUUUACAGAACAAGAAAUUCAAGUUCAAGCAUAUUGCUUAAAUCUAGUUAACCUAUAGGAAAACUAAGUAUAAUAAUAUAAGCACAGCAAAGUAGAAGGAAGAAGACAAGUAGCCUUAAUCAGCUAAACCUUCCUCUUUUAUAAUGGAAAGCCACUGCAAAAGAAAUCGAGGUUGAUAAAUACAGAAGCUCGGUAAGUGUAUUAUUACUUAAAAUUUUGAAUUUUGAAAGGAACUCCCCAAAAAUCUAAAAAUGCUUAUUGUUAAAAAAAAUUUUUUUUUGAGAUAGGAUCUCUCUUUGUCACCCAGGCUGGAGUGGAAUGGUGUGAUCAUAGCACACUACAGCCUCUCUAACUUUGUAUAUUUUCUUUCAAGAAAUGUUUAUUCAUGUCCUUUGCCCACUUUUGGAUGGGAUUAUUAUUAUUAUUAUUAUUUUCCUGCAGAUUUGUUUGAGUUCCUUGUAGAUUCUGGAUACUAGACCUUUGUUGGAUGCAGUUUGCAAGUAUUUUCUCCCACUCUGUGGGUUGUCUGUUUACUCUGCUCAUUAUUUCUUUUGCUAUGCAGAGCUUCUUAGUUUAAUUAGGUCCCAUUAAUCUUUGUUUUUGUUGAAUUUGCUUUUGGGGUCUUAGUCAUGAAUUCUUUGCCUGAGCCAAUGUCCACAAGAGUUUUUCUGAUGUUAUCUUCUAGAAUUUUUAUAGUUUCAGGUCUUAGAUUUAAGUUUGAUAUUGUUUAGAUCUGUGUCCGGGUCCGCACCAAAUCUCAUGUUGAAUUGUAAUCCCCAGUGUUGGAGGUGGAGCCUGAUGAAGGGUGACUGAGUCAUGUGGGUGGCAUUCUCAUGAAUGGGUUAGCACCAUCCUCUUGGUGCUGUUCUCAUGAUAAGAGUUCUCAGGAGAUCUGGUUGUUUAGAAGUGUGUGACACCUCCCCACCAUCUCACUCUCUCUUCUUUCUGCUCCAGCCAUGUAAGACAUGCGUGUGCCUGCUUCCCCUUUGCCUUCUGCCAUGACUGAAAGUUUCCUAAGGCCUCCUCAGAAGCCGAGCAGAUGCCAGUAUCAUGCUUCCUCUAAAGCCUGUGGAACCAUGAGCCAAGAUUUACAGUACUAUGUUGAAUAGAAGUGGUGAGAGAGGGCAUUCUUGUCUUGUUCCAGUUCUCCAGAGGAAUGCUUUCGACUUUCCCCCAUUCAGUAUGAUGUUGCAUAUGGAUUUGUCAUAUAUGGCUUUUACUACUUUCAGGGUUUUUCAUGGGCCGAUCUGCUGAAUUCAGCCUAGGAGCUGAGGCCAACAUCUGAGUCUCUUCAGCAUAUAAGUUUGAAAGAAGUCCUAGCAACUUCAAGCUUAGAACUACGGGUGGCAGCAGCUCCCUCUUGACGUCGAAGCCUCCCAUACCAGAGAGAGCCAAGGCCCGGAUCAAAAAAAGCCCACAAGCACCGAUGACUGAGCUGCUGACUACCCCAGCAUCUCCAACUCAACCUACUCUUUCUGCCUCUACCCAAAUUUUAAAACUUUUAAACAUGGGUUUAAAAAUGGUAAUGAGUAAAGUUGCAUCCAAGUGUAUCAAAUAAAAUUAAAUAUCCAUAAAUGCUGUAAUAAUUCCUGCUUUGAUGCUGAACUAAAGAAUUUUCUGCUGGGCGUGGUGGCUCAUGCCUGUAAUCCCAGCACUUUGGGAGGCCAAGGCAGGUGGAUCACAAGGUCAGGAGUUCAAGACCUGCCUGGCCAACGUGGUGAAACCCCAUCUCUACUAAAAAUACAAAAAUUAGCUGGGCAUGGUGGCAGGCAUCUGUAGUCCCAGCUACUCAGGAGGCUGAGGCAGGAGAAUCACUUGAACCCGGGAGACAGAGGUUGUAGUGAGCCAAGAUGGCACCACUGCACUCCAUCCUGGGCAACAAGCGAGAUUCCAUCUCAAAAGAAAAGAAAAAAAGAAUUUUCUGUUUAUAUUACAUAUAGUCUCACUUCAUAUUUCAUUUCUCUCACCUCUGAUACCUGGAGUCCUUGGCUAGUACUGAAAUUGAGUAAAGUCAUUCUCAUGAGUUUUAGUAAACUCAAAACUCAAACCUCAUGAAGUUGGCAAAACUCAAAGAAUGCUUUGGUCUAGUUUGACAUUGGCCAGUAUGUUUUUCAUAUCCAGUCAUUCCUUUUUUCCUGGCUGACAUCCUCACUUCCUGCCUGUGGAGGAAAAGUUAAAUAUUAAAUUUGAACUCAAUUGAAUGUGGACACAAACAAUGGUCACCAAGUCCGGGAACAGGUUGUGUGAGUCCCUUGAGGCAUUUAUCCUGCCCUGUUUCGGAGAAAUCUCUAUUUCAAACUAUCCCUAUGUGUUACUUACUGAAAAACAACAGACAAUCGCAAAAACAAGUUGACCUUUUUGUGUUCCUUGAGCCCAGUCACAAAGGGCCCUCAUGACUGGGCCUCAUGCCAAACAACUUGUUACAAAAAGAGCUAGGGUCCCAGACCGCACCAAAGCCCCAUGAGACCUCUCCUCAUCUGUGCACGGACUGGUGGCCGACUCUGGAGCCCAGGCUGUUGCUUCCUGGUCUGGUGAUGAAUCCUCCAUAGUCUGGAAAGGGGUCUCCAGUCACCUCUUGUGAGGAGAUGCGUCCCACUGCCUCAUUGAGGUGGCCUCAGGGUGAGGGAUCAGGACCCACCUGGUGCAACGAAUAAACCCAGACUCUCAGCAACGCGAGGAGAAAAAGUCUUGCAACACCGUGGUGACCAAGUAACUCUGUGCACAUACUAAGGAGGCAGCACUCGGGGAAGCAGCACCAAGGCAGGCAUCGUCAUUCUGCAUACGCAGGCCUUGACUGGCAGCAGAGC